rnacentral:rRNA from 1 species
GACGAACGCUGGCGGCGUGCUUAACACAUGCAAGUCGAACGGAGAGGCCUGCUUUCCCUUGUGGAUUGCGGGUACUCGAGUGGCGAACGGGUGAGUAACACGUGAGUGAUCUGCCCCCAACUUGGGUAUAAGCCUGGGAAACUGGGUCUAAUUCCCGAUAGGACUGCAGGGUGGUGCCUGUGGUGGAAAACGAUUUUCUAGUGGUUGGGGAUGAGCUCGCGGCCUAUCAGCUUGUUGGUGGGGUAAUGGCCUACCAAGGCGGCGACGGGUAGCCGGCCUGAGAGGGUGGACGGCCACAUUGGGACUGAGAUACGGCCCAGACUCCUACGGGAGGCAGCAGUGGGGAAUAUUGCACAAUGGGCGGAAGCCUGAUGCAGCGACGCCGCGUGGGGGAUGACGGCCUUCGGGUUGUAAACUCCUUUCGACCGCGAGGAAGCCACCUGGCUGGAAGGGUGGUGACGGUAGUGGUAGAAGAAGCACCGGCUAACUACGUG